UACGUAGGGUGCAAGCGUUGUCCGGAAUUAUUGGGCGUAAAGGGUUUGUAGGUGGCUUGCUAAGUCAGACGUGAAAUCCCUCAGCUUAACUGGGGAACUGCGUCUGAUACUGGCGAGCUUGAGUGCAGGAGAGGAACGCGGAAUUCCAGGUGUAGCGGUGAAAUGCGUAGAUAUCUGGAGGAACACCGGUGGCGAAGGCGGCAUCCUGGACCGGCAUUGACGCUGAGGCGCGAAAGCCAGGGGAGCAAACGGG
rnacentral:rRNA from 1 species